GCAGCGUCAGAUGUGUAUAAGAGACAGGAAGUGCCAACGUUGCCGCUCCGUUCUCGUACGGUGCCUCGACCGUGGCGAUGAUACUCCAAUCUACACCCGUGAUUUGGACCGCGAUCCGGUCGAAAGUCGUCUUCGGGGGAAGAUUUCGGAUGUCGGUAAUUACCAGCGGAUAAGUUUUCGGCUCCGGUUUCGGUUCGGGCAACGGGAUCGUGGGAUCCGGUGCCCCUUCAUUUUCCUGGGUGUCGUUGCAUCCGGCUGUCAGGAGUACCGGGGCCAGCAGUGCGAGUAAUAGGGAGCAGAGGCUUAUUUUUCGGUACGGGAUAAUUCUGGUUAUCAUAGGUGUAGGUCUUUCUUGGUUGUCAGAGGCGGCGGUUCGUGCGGAUUUCGGUCAGCCGGGUUCUGUGCGGUGCCGAUUCCGGGAACAACCAUAAGGCAUACCAUCGGAAGUGUCGGCGACAUAGAUGGCUUAUGGCUCUUGCAGAUCGGCGAACCAGUAGGUGUAGGUUUUCUCCGUGCCGUCGUCGAGCCGUAUGUCGUAACUUCGGGAGAAGGGACGCCCUCGAAAGAGGGUCGCAGUGAAUAGGCCCAAGCAACUGUUUACCAAAAACACAGGUCUCUGCUAAAUCGAAAGAUGACGUAUAGGGGCUGACGCCUGCCCGGUGCUGGAAGGUUAAGAGGAGGACUUAGCGCAAGCGAAGGUCUGAAUUUAAGCCCCAGUAAACGGCGGCCGUAACUAUAACGGUCCUAAGGUAGCGAAAUUCCUUGUCAGGUAAGUUCUGACCCGCAUGAAAGGCGUAAUGAUUUGGGCACUGUCUCGACAGCCCGCCCGGCGAAAUUGUAGUACCGGUGAAGAUGCCGGUUACCCGCGACAAGACGGAAAGACCCCAUGGAGCUUUACUGUAGCCUAAUAUUGGGUUUCGAUGUUGCAUGCACAGGAUAGAUGGGACACAGGGAAACAAGUGCUUUGGCAUUUGUGGAGUGGCCGUUGGGAUACCAUCCUUGCGAUAUUGGAAUUCUAACCUGCGCCUUUGAAUCAAGGCGGGGGACAUUGUUAGGUGGGCAGUUUGACUGGGGCGGUCGCCUCCUAAAGAGUAACGGAGGCGUUCAAAGGUUCGCUCAGCUUGAACGGAAAUCAAGCAAAAGAGUGCAAACGCAGAAGCGAGCCUAACUGCGAGACUGACGGGUCGAGCAGUAACGAAAGUUGGAGUUAGUGAUCCGGUGGUAUGUGAGUGGAAAUGCCAUCGCUCAACGGAUAAAAGUUACCCUGGGGAUAACAGGCUGAUCUCCCCCAAGAGUCCACAUCGACGGGGAGGUUUGGCACCUCGAUGUCGGCUCAUCGCAUCCUGGGGCUGUAUUCGGUCCCAAGGGUUUGGCUGUUCGCCAAUUAAAGCGGUACGCGAGCUGGGUUCAGAACGUCGUGAGACAGUUCGGUCCCUAU
rnacentral:rRNA from 1 species